CAGCCGCCACGGGAAUACGUAGGGUGCAAGCGUUAAUCGGAAUUACUGGGCGUAAAGCGUGCGCAGGCGGUUAUAUAAGACAGAUGUGAAAUCCCCGGGCUCAACCUGGGAACUGCAUUUGUGACUGUAUAGCUAGAGUACGGCAGAGGGGGAUGGAAUUCCGCGUGUAGCAGUGAAAUGCGUAGAUAUGCGGAGGAACACCGAUGGCGAAGGCAAUCCCCUGGGCCUGUACUGACGCUCAUGCACGAAAGCGUGGGGAGCAAACAGGAUUAGAGACCCCUGUAGUCCCUGUCUCUUAUAC
rnacentral:rRNA from 1 species